GCGAACUGAUUAGAAGCUUGCUUCUAUGACGUUAGCGGCGGACGGGUGAGUAACACGUGGGCAACCUGCCUGUAAGACUGGGAUAACUUCGGGAAACCGAAGCUAAUACCGGAUAGGAUCUUCUCCUUCAUGGGAGAUGAUUGAAAGAUGGUUUCGGCUAUCACUUACAGAUGGGCCCGCGGUGCAUUAGCUAGUUGGUGAGGUAACGGCUCACCAAGGCAACGAUGCAUAGCCGACCUGAGAGGGUGAUCGGCCACACUGGGACUGAGACACGGCCCAGACUCCUACGGGAGGCAGCAGUAGGGAAUCUUCCGCAAUGGACGAAAGUCUGACGGAGCAACGCCGCGUGAGUGAUGAAGGCUUUCGGGUCGUAAAACUCUGUUGUUAGGGAAGAACAAGUACGAGAGUAACUGCUCGUACCUUGACGGUACCUAACCAGAAAGCCACGGCUAACUACGUGCCAGCAGCCGCGGUAAUACGUAUGUGGCAAGCGUUAUCCGGAAUUAUUGGGCGUAAAGCGCGCGCGGC
rnacentral:rRNA from 2 species